AUUGAACGCUGGCGGCAGGCCUAACACAUACAAGUCGAGCGAGCGGCGGACGGGUGAGUAAUGUAUGGGGACUGCCCGCUAGAGGGGGAUAACUACUGGAAACGGUGGCUAAUACCGCAUACUAUCGGAUAACCCAUAUGGGAUUAGCUAGUAGGUGGGGUAAAGGCUCACCUAGGCGACGAUCUCUAGCGGGUCUGAGGGGAUGAUCAGCAAAAUGGGAACGGGAACAGGGCCCAGACUCCUAGGGAGCCAGCAGAGGGAAAUAUUGGACAAUGGGCGCAAGCCUGAUGCAGCAAUGCCGCGUGGAUGAAGAAGGCCUUAGGGUUGUAAAGUACUUUCAGCGGGGAGGCGUUACCCGCACAAGAAGCACCGGCUAACUCCGUGCCAGCAGCCGCGGUAAUUC
rnacentral:rRNA from 1 species